GAUGAACGCUGACAGAAUGCUUAACACAUGCAAGUCCACUUGAAUUUGGGUUUUUACCUUAGGUUUGGGUGGCGGACGGGUGAGUAACGCGUAAAGAACUUGCCUCACAGCUAGGGACAACAUUUGGAAACGAAUGCUAAUACCUAAUAUUAUGAUAAUAGGGCAUCCUAUAAUUAUGAAAGCUAUAAGCGCUGUGAGAGAGCUUUGCGUCCCAUUAGCUAGUUGGAGAGGUAACGGCUCACCAAGGCGAUGAUGGGUAGCUGGUCUGAGAGGGUGAUCGGCCACAAGGGGACUGAGACACGGCCCUUACUCCUACGGGAGGCAGCAGUGGGGAAUAUUGGACAAUGGACCGAGAGUCUGAUCCAGCAAUUCUGUGUGCACGAUGAAGUUUUUCGGAAUGUAAAGUGCUUUCAGUUGGGAAGAAACAAAUGACGGUACCAACAGAAGAAGUGACGGCUAAAUACGUG
rnacentral:rRNA from 1 species